UCUCACAGUGGAAUUGUUACGUGCAUCAACAGACAUGCUCUCAUGGAUAAAAGAUGAGAUCGGGAAGGAUCGAGUCACGUCUCGAACGUCUCACUCCACGAACAAACAUUGUUUUUUAAUUCUCACCAUUACAGUUAGCUACAUACAAAUGUAACUCCUUUCCUGAUAAUAUUGUAACCAUCCAAGAACCCUCUGGUUUCACUUACUUAAACCCAUAACACCUGCUUUCUUGUUUUAUAUUUUUGUUUGUGUUUUGUAUAAUGUUGUACUUGCUCCCCCUACCCCUUAGGUAAAGCCCUAUGGGCGCUUUAAGGGUAUAAUAAAUGAUAUGAGCUACCUGCAGGCUUCUUAACAUGGAUGUCGGACAGCAUUUUCAUGGGAGCAGGCACCGUGAGCUUGGUUCCAGCACCGUCUCUCUUCGACAGCUUCACGGCUCACAUUUCCUGGCGGGCCGAGAGCUCAACAAUUGACAUAUUGACAGUAAGUGUUGAUGCGAACGACAUGCCACUGAGGGAGUCAUCGACAGUUGUGCCACGACGCCUGUGCUGCUCUGUGAGGCGGUUUCAGGGUAAAUUGCUUUGCUGGCUAUGAACAAUGUCGCACAACAACAAUGGCACAAGUCAAUGCGUCUUACAUGUAGUGUACAGUUCGUAAAGACAAACUGCAGCCUGACUGAAUGCGCAUUAUGUCUAACAGCCUGUAAAAUACAGCGUGAAACCACCUUCAGUACUAUAGCGAACUCUAUUAUCUAUAACACGGCAGCCAUGCUAUAACAAGGUUUUAACGUUUUUUAACAAAGCUUGUUGAUUUGGCUGCUGUGAUGUUGUUUGAGUUGUAACAGAGGAAGAAAACUGGAAUAUUCCUAUUUUCACCCUAUACUCACCUCAUCCAGUGAGUUCCCAAUAAUUUUGAGCAUAUUGCAAUGAAUUCCCCUCAGCUGCACCUUUUCGUUUACCUAUUCCGGUCAUGCGCACAAAAAUCGGCAGGAAUCAUCCUAACUCUGCCAGCACGCCUGCCAGUGUUUCCUGGAUAGUUUCUGUCCUGGGGGCUGGUGCACAGAAACAAUCCAACGGGUAAUGUAGCGCUCUUCCUGGCAGAUUGCGUGUGCUAGCCUAGAAAAUGCCUAUCACACGCUGAAAGCUGGUGCCGCCCCUCUCGUUGGUCUUGCCAUCACUGCGAAUGCCUUGUCUACCUCAGGAUCAGCAAGCUGGCAAUUCUGGAUGCUUUAUCAUAACUAUAAUACAGUUUUAAUACAGCUCGAUUUCCCCAUCACAUUCAAUAGGUAAUUUAAUAAUGUUUUACUUUGCAUGUCGUCGUUUUAAUACAGGUGCAAUUAUCAGUGAACUCAUUGACACUCUCCAUGUUGCAAAUUUCAAGCUGCGCCAGAAACAAUGAAUGAAUUUGCAAUACAACCAUCCAGAUUCAUCCAUGGAGGCUGCACUCGUCACUCUACGACUCUCAGCAUUCGAGUUAGGUCAUUAAGGUCAAUAAUAAGGGUCUUGGGGGGCAAGGUUUUACUGGGUCAAUUUGGGGGAAAAAAUGGUACUGCCAUGCAUAAACAAUGAAAAGUCUUGGAUUGUAGUAUCAAAUACUGAUCUGGCAGAUUAAUAUUAUAGCGUGCCCUGUUAAUCCCCCGUAAGGUGGCCAGUUGUCGGGUUUCGCAUCGGGUCGAAUUGCGAGUUAUUUUGUUAUUUUGGGUUAUUUUGAAAUCAAGUUGCAUAGAAAACUGAUUGCCAGUUUGAGAGGGCACUGUCCUACAAAUACUCCAAUUCUGAUGUAUGGAACCUGAGUGACUUGGGUGGCUCAAGUUCCAUACAUCAGAGUCCCGAGGUUUUCUGGGAUAGUCCACCCUCAGCUACCGUACACACUUUUGUAUUGCACAAAGCUACCGUACAAGCUUUUUCAGCCCAAGCGACAUAUGUCGAUCAGGUUUGCAAAAGCGUGUACUGAUACUGAAAAUUUCUAGCAGAAUUCAACCACGUGAAUUGCGCAUAACAAGUCGCUGGUAGCCACCGGUAAAUGAUCAUCUCCUUGUAUUCACUGUUUACAUUGAGCAAUUACACAAGCAAUUAUGUUCCGACGGCGUCAGUUUUUUUCUUUCCGCAGAACCUAUCCACAUUCUUCGACGAGCCGGGCAGGCAGAAAACAUGGGAAACCUACCGUGGCAUCUUUCCCGCCCCUUCUGGUGCAUCCCUAGUCGUGGCUUUUUGACAAGGCAGAUUUUAGUCUGCUUUCUUCCAACACAACACGAGAAUGCCCGUCUCACAUGGCGACUUCCACCCACACCCGACCGGAAGUGUGCCCGAAGCACCACCGCCGUGACGUGACGUAACAGUGUUGAGCUGGUGCGUGCACUUGUGUAAAAAACGUUUGUAUUGUUUGUCAUUUACUGUAUUUAUUCAUUGGUCUUCUAUCUUCUCUGAGAAACCUUCGACUAGCAUUCAUACUGCAGGUAACUGGUGUACCGGAUCCUUUAUUGCAAUUGAAUGCCCGGCCAACAAGGUCCGGUCGAUUUGUGAACCAGUGCCAUUACCCCUCACUAGCACUUAAAGCCAUCUGUGACUGCAACAAGCGGUUUCUGGAUAUAACCGGGGGACAUUCAAAUAAGGUUCAUGACGCUAGGGUAUUUAGGACUUACAGCAUCGUGAACAAGCUCUCGCAAAUCUGCCGUAGGGGCCAGUACCACAUCCUGGGUGACGCGGCCUACCCUUUGAGAGAGUACCUGAUGACUCCUUUCAGAAACUAUGGGUCCCUCACUAAAAGAAGAAGGACAUCAAUGGGAAGUUCUCAAGUACACGCGUGCUCAUCGAAAUGUGUUUGCUGAUCUGAAAAAAAGUUUCAGGCAGCUGAAGCUAUGCGAGUUCUUUACUGUUGAUCAUGCAACAAGGUUCAUCACUGCCAUGUUGCAUCCUCCAUAAGAUCUGCAUUGAGGCCGGAGAAGGUGAUGUUGUCCAGGUGCCAGAGGACGAGGCCAGCAGCGUCCCAGACAAUGAAUCGCUGGAGGAGUUUGGGCUACUGAUGGCUUUAGAUUCUGUUCUCCACAUACUGGCGGAAGAAAAGAGGGACAGGGUGAUUGCCCAAAUGGGGCUGAGAAAAGCCCCAUUUGCCGAGAUAAGCCCUCGGCCGGUUUGCUAGAGCAGUGUCUCGGCUGAGGCUGGGUGAAAGAAAGCACUGCACUUCUCAAGCAUCUUGAGAAGCGGCUCGAGGACGUAAGACGACAUAUCGCACACUUUUGGCACUGCGGGUCGCCCCUGUAGGUGGAGGAGGUUUCCGCUUCGUCUGGUUAAAAUAUGGCGCACUGAUAUUUAGUUACUCUCUCCGUGCUCGCUGGCUUGCCCUAACCCCAAGAGACGUGGAAACCGCAAAGAGGUAGAUGCUUAAAUACGGUUGCAAGGCUCCUUUAAGGCCAAUUUCUCCAAACUUCUUCAUUAUCCUACGAGGAAAACUGAAUUUACAUGGUUUCUAUAGGUCACGAAGACAGAGGGGAUGAUUUGGAAGUGACGAAUGUACCUUUAUUUUUAACAGCAAGUUGUACCUCCUUGCCGAGAGCCUGGUUCUGUUCUGGAUUAUAACAUAGAUAUGGGUAGCUCUGCGCUUCCAUGAAUAUUUACGGUGCUACCCAAUAGUAGACUUCAGCAGAACUUGCCAGAUUGUCACGAAUCGGGACUUAAAGGAGCAAACAACCAAGAAAUCUUUUCUUUACAUUUAGUGUGCAAAUAUUCGGUUUUGAAUAUUUAGUGUAUUGUUGCGUGUCACUUGGAAACCUGGCAACAUGAAUAGGUUAAUAAAUCUCCAUCUUGUGAUAUGACCAAUAUUAAUGCCCAACUCUAUUUUAAUGUAGGAGAGUCAUGUGCAAGUAAUUUUAUUGGGUGGUCCGUCAUCCAUAAGCUUACAAAACUGUGGGUACAUCCUGGGUUCCAAUUGGUAAUGCAGGAUAUGUGAGCUAAUGAACAUCUUCUCCUGCUGCUGCUUCUUCAGUGUAGGAUGGACAAGCCAUUUGCAGUUAUCAAAUUUCCGGACAAGGAAGACUGCCUGGCAGUCAUGCCAGUGACCUGGCUUUCAAAACUAAGACGUGUUUGCCUGGCCACUGCAUAUUAAGGGGUCCAGGGUGUCCUCCAUGGUGGAAUAGGAGGUGCCACCAGGCAUCAUUGGUAGUGGGUGAGAGAUGUUCCCAUGUACUGUCAUCAUUUUACAGUAUUUAUUUUGUACCUUUUUUCUCUGGAUGAUUUUGUGAAGACGAUUAAGUUCUACCCAUCCAAAAAUUAGUAAUUGUGAGGACUUUUUUGAUAUUGUUCAGGACAUUUGCAGUAAAUGCAAUCUAAUUUAUAGUUUCUAAAGUCCCUAUACUCAUUGAUGACACAACUAAAAACAUUUUGCACGUAUUACAAUGGAGAGGAGGUGAACAAGCAGCACAAAAUAACCAGAAACUACCGAUUUGUUCGUGCUUUUGUGCCUACGUAACAAUGUUGCCAGUACUUCGCAGUCUGCAUUUUUCACGAAUGGUAAACAUUGAGAUUGUCGAAGUUAUGCUGUUAUGAUUACGGUUCUGCGUUUUCGGUUUUUAUUUUUCUUGAAUUCGGCAUACUUUUUUCGGUUUUCAUUGAAAUUUUUCGGCUUUUGACAAGGAGAAUAUAUAUACAAGCGAAACUUUAGCGUCUUUUCUUUUCUGUGAAUAUGUAUUGACCUCACACUUUUCUAGCUUGUUUGUCCAAACUUAAUUAUUGCACGCCGCACGGCAGCACUUGCAGAUAUGAGAAGCAGAUUCGCGGCUUUUUCUUAUUAGGUGCCCCCUUUCAGAAAAAUAUCUAUGAUAUACACUACAACAAUCCAAGCACAAUAUUAAGAAAAGGACAGGAGACAAUUGGCAUACAAAAACUGGAUCACGAAGGCGAAAAAUUCUAUCCAGACGACAAACGAAGCUAAACACCCUAAAUGCCAACAGAGCACUUCGCUGUCAUGUAGACAAGCUGACUAUAGUCAUGUGCCGACAAAUACCCCCCCUCCCUCCCUCCGUUGCCAUUCCCAACUUUGCAUGCAAUGCCGCUCUAAAAUACUUGCCUUUUCGGUUAAAACCGAAUGUCGGAAAAGGAAUCCAGCAUACUUCACCGGUUCUUAUUGGGUGAAACUGAAAACAAUGAACCCUGAUAUUGGUGUGUUCUAAUAUUUGCUUUCAGGGACCUAUCAAAAGGCACUGAAAAAGACAAAAAGACUGGUCAACAGCUCAACCGUAGAAACGGAGGUUUCGGCCCAUGAGGAAGAGGCACAUCCAGCAUUUGGAGUGCCGUCACCAUGAACAGCUUUCCAAAGACCUGCUUUCACAGCUGCCUUCUGCGGGUUGCACAGAUAGCAGUUGAGACCGCAACUGGGAAGGCUGUGCGAAGACAUUUAGACUUUACGGCUCAUUCCACAACGUAUC